rnacentral:tRNA from 1 species
AUAUAAGUGUCAGAAUUUCAUGAGUUGGUUUUAAGCAUCAAUUAUAGGGUUCACACCCUCUUAUAUU